AAGAGGUGCACAGGUCAUAUUCGAUCGAGCCUGAGGCUCAAUCCCUUAUCCAAGCAUAAUAAAACAGGAAGACUCAUGAGCUAAGAAGGGAAUAACAAACGCUUCGUCAUUGAAAUACUUUCGCGAACCAACAAAAACCAGAUCACGCUCUUCCAUCGAUUCGCAUCUCAACAUCAACCUUCGAUCUUCCCGUCUUCUGCGACUUCUGGUUUUGGUUGCCACGAGCUUUUGUGCAGAGACUGAGGCAGAGUGAAUUCUAGCUCAACCAAUCAAAGCUUCAGCGUGGAGCUUUGAUGGCUUUGUCUCAGAGCUUUAGUGAGGGUGGAAUGGUUGAACUGGUUCGAGAGAUGGUGAGGGUUGGUGCAGCAAAAGCAAAAAUUCCUUCUUUGAAACGUGAACCAGAUAUAUAUACUGAUUGAAAUAUCACAGAGUUAACACUCUGUUAACAUUCUCCCCUUCCAAACGGUUUUGUGUCAAAAUUAUGCAGGUGGCUAUAUGGAAGCUGCAUUUGGUGCUCCACGUUUCCUACUGUGUCAUUAUUCCUAUCCCUUGCUUUGUAUGUGGUCUUGCACAUGUGGAUAUAUGGGUUGGUUUACGUAGAUAUGUAACAAUGGACUUUGGAUAUGAUUUGUAAUGGAUAUGGGCUUACUUUGGAUAUGGUUUACAAAUGAGUUAAUUGGUUAUGAGAUUGGAAUGUAUUACCAAUUUAUUCUAA